CGCGUAGGUGGUUUGGUCAGUCAGAUGUGAAAGCCCUGGGCUUAACCUGGGAGUUGCAUUUGAUACUGCCAGACUAGAGUAUGGUAGAGGGAAGUGGAAUUCCGGGUGUAGCGGUGAAAUGCGUAGAUAUCCGGAGGAACAUCAGUGGCGAAGGCGGCUUCCUGGACCAAUACUGACACUGAGGUGCGAAAGCGUGGGUAGCAAACA
rnacentral:rRNA from 1 species